rnacentral:rRNA from 1 species
UGGCGCACGGGUGCGCAACGCGUGGGAAUCUGCCCCUCGGUUCGGAAUAACAGUUAGAAAUGACUGCUAAUACCGGAUAAUGACGAAAGUCCAAAGAUUUAUCGCCGAGGGAUGAGCCCGCGUAGGAUUAGCUAGUUGGUGGGGUAAAGGCCUACCAAGGCGACGAUCCUUAGCUGGUCUGAGAGGAUGAUCAGCCACACUGGGACUGAGACACGGCCCAG